AAAGAGGGAAAAUUUCAUCCACUUGGAUAAUCUGUUAUCUGGGAGUUAAGCUUCCCUGUUGCAAGGAGAAGGACAUAUCGCUGCAGUCAAUCACGGAUGAGUGAGCUUUUAGAUAAGGCCUUUCCUAUAAUACACCCACAACACUUCAUUUUCCUCUUGCAGCACUGGGACUGACCUCCCCACUUGGAUGAGUGUCGUGGAGGCAGAGAUAGGGACCGUGCCGCGCUGCUUGGCUGACACGCAUUUCGGAGCAACACAUUCCAGCAGAUGAACCCAUUUGCACACAUUUUCAAACACACUGGAGAUGAUUUUCUCUUCGAUUGCUCCUGAUGUCAAGCUGUGAGUCAUGGGCCACUCCAUGUGUGGUGAAGGACAUCCCUGAUCUGUGGCACUGUGGCAGCUUGGUGAAGACCCAAAAGAAAAAGAACCUGGCUGUAGAACUGGACCCUUAAAACCAACUAAUUUCUUUGAAGGGACUUAUUCGGAAGAAAGUUAAUAAAAACUGCAUGGAAAAACCAGCAUCACAGCUAUUUUUUUUUUCUGCCUGAAAUUCCUACAGGGAAGUUAGCUGAAUGCAAAAAGUAUGGAGAAAGAGAGAAACAUUCCAUUGGUCCUUAAAGCCCAAAGGAGUGAUUCCUUCAGUGCUGCCAUUCCAGUGGAGAUUGCAGCAAGGUCUCCUUCCAUACCAGUUGCUGCACUGGUGUAGAUCCUCUGGCACCGAUUCCUGUCCCUGGGAGUUGUCCCAGCUUGAU